rnacentral:rRNA from 2 species
UACGUAGGCAGCAAGCGUUGUUCGGAGUUACUGGGCGUAAAGAGUGCGUAGGCGGUCUUUUAAGUUUGGUGUGAAAUCUCCCGGCUCAACUGGGAGGGUGCGCCGAAAACUGGAAGGCUUGAGGAUGGGAGAGGCAUGCGGAAUUCCUGGUGUAGCGGUGAAAUGCGUAGAUAUCAGGAGGAACACCUGCGGUGUAGACAGCAUGCUGGACCAUUUCUGACGCUGAGGCACGAAAGCGUGGGUAGCAAACAGG